CGCGUGAGGUGAAGACGGCCCCCGGGUUGUAAACCUCUUUUAGUAGGGAAGAAGCGAAAGUGACGGUACCUGCAGAAAAAGCACCGGCUAACUACGUGCCAGCAGCCGCGGUAAUACGUAGGGUGCAAGCGUUGUCCGGAAUUAUUGGGCGUAAAGAGCUCGUAGGCGGUUUGUCGCGUCUGCUGUGAAAUCCCGAGGCUCAACCUCGGGCUUGCAGUGGGUACGGGCAGACUAGAGUGCGGUAGGGGAGAUUGGAAUUCCUGGUGUAGCGGUGGAAUGCGCAGAUUUCAGGAGGAACACCGAUGGCGAAGGCAGAUCUCUGGGCCGUAACUGACGCUUAGGAGCGAAAGCGUGGGGAGCGAACAGGAUUAGAUACCCUGGUAGUCCACGCCGUAAACGUUGGGCGCUAGAUGUAGGGACCUUUCCACGGUUUCUGUGUCGUAGCUAACGCAUUAAGCGCCCCGCCUGGGGAGUACGGCCGCAAGGCUAAAACUCAAAGGAAUUGACGGGGGCCCGCACAAGCGGCGGAGCAUGCGGAUUAAUUCGAUGCAUCGCGAAGAACCUUACCAAGGCUUGACAUACACCGGAGACGGCCAGAGAUGGUCGCUCCCCUUGUGGUC
rnacentral:rRNA from 1 species